UACGAAGGGGGCUAGCGUUAAUCGGAAUUACUGGGCGUAAAGCGUGCGCAGGCGGUUUUGUAAGCCAGGGGUGAAAUCCCCGGGCUCAACCUGGGAAUGGCAUUUGGGACUGCAAGGCUGGAGUGCGGCAGAGGAGACUGGAAUUCCUGGUGUAGCAGUGAAAUGCGUAGAUAUCAGGAGGAAUACCGAUGGCGAAGGCAGGUCUCUGGGCUGACACUGACGCUCAUGCACGAAAGCGUGGGGAGCAAACAGG
rnacentral:rRNA from 1 species